rnacentral:tRNA from 1 species
GGGGCGGUAGCUCAGCUGGUAGAGCAUUACGUUCGCAACGUAGGGGUCGAGGGUUCGAAUCCCUUCCGCUCCACCA